CAGACGGGUGAGUAACGCGUGGGAACCUUCCCAGUGGUACGGAAUAGCUCAGGGAAACUUGGGGUAAUACCGUAUAAGCCCGAAAGGGGAAAGAUUUAUCGCCAUUGGAUGGGCCCGCGUCGGAUUAGCUAGUUGGUGAGGUAAUGGCUCACCAAGGCGACGAUCCGUAGCUGGUCUGAGAGGAUGAUCAGCCACACUGGGACUGAGACACGGCCCAGACUCCUACGGGAGGCAGCAGUGGGGAAUAUUGGACAAUGGGCGCAAGCCUGAUCCAGCCAUGCCGCGUGAGUGACGAAGGCCUUAGGGUUGUAAAGCUCUUUUGGCGGGGACGAUAAUGACGGUACCCGCAGAAUAAGCCCCGGCUAACUUCGUGCCAGCAGCCGCGGUAAUACGAAGGGGGCUAGCGUUGUUCGGAAUCACUGGGCGU
rnacentral:rRNA from 1 species